GUGGAGCUGGGCUCCAGACCCCGCCUGGCCCUGCGGUGGGCCCGCAUCCCCGCCUUCCGCCCAGGGCCUCCCUUCUCCCAGAGCCACCUCACAGCUCCAGGGCUUUUAAGAGCCGCCAGCCGAACCCCUUUUUACCAAGGACCCUUGCUUCCCAAAGUGUGUUUUUACCAACCAAACUGAAACUGCUUUUCCCGGUGGAUGUGGGGCGCCCCUCGGAACGCGCAUGACCGAGCUGCACUGAAGAUCCCGUGGGAGCCCGUGCGCCCCUCUCUCUACUCCUCUGUGAGUAGCUGACAUUGUUUCCCCACCCCCACUCCUGCUGUGACCGGUCAGCCCAAACAUGGUGGCCUGAGGGCCGGGAGCUCACUCCGGCCUCUGCCCCACUUCACAUGCCCCCCGCCCCCGCCCCCACCAUUACAAGGUGUCCUUCCGGAGGAGACUACAGGGGUUGUUAGAGUUCUGGAUAGGGGGGAGGGCACGCUCAUUAUUUCCAGUGAGACAAGGAUCUUCAGACCCCGCGAUGGAAACCAGAGAACCGUUCGUUGAACGUCAGAAAACUGACAGCAUCGUCAGUGUCCAUCCAGCAAGCCCCGCAGGAUGGAGGAGGCCCUCCCGAAUGUCUUCCCAGCCUCAGAACCCGCACCAGCACCUCGAGCAAGUGCGGAGCCCGCGUGGCCCUACUCGAGGAGCCCUGUCCUGCGGAGCCUCCGCUCUGGGCCCCGAAUUGUAGCCCUGAGGCCCCACGGAGCAGGUCUGAGUCUGAGGAUGUCCCUCAGGUACUCAGCGAGCUCAGUUCAGGCCUCCCCUGCUCUAGCAAGGGACACCCCCCUGCAGCCCGCCGGGGCAAACGCCGCGGGGUCUUCUGGAUCCUUCUUCUCUGAUCCGGUCCCAGCUUGUCUCCACGUUGAGAAGGGAGGUGCCCGGAACUGAAAAGGACGGCCGUCUGCAUGCUCAUCGGUCCUACAGAAUGGAACCCAACUGCCGGGCUGUCGACAAGGAGCGGGACAGACAGACUCCAGCCAUCAUGAAGCUCCCGUCCUGGUAGAGGGGGCGGGGGAUGAGGGGAAACGGUCGAGGACAACAUCAGACAGUGACGCUCCGCAGAGCGGAAGCAGGUCCGACGACGAGGCAUGACCAGAGGUCAGGUGGCCUCUGUGAGGGGCUGACAUUCGUGCUGAGAGCUGAGUGACGAGAACAGCUGAAGCGAAGUCCCCAGUGCAGCAGCAGACCCCCUUCUCUGCCGCCUUUCCAAGAGGGAGAGGCGGAGGAGGAAGGACUCAGCGAGCCUCUUCCACACCCGUCCCCACAAGAGCGGGCCCCUUGAGUGCUCUCUCCCUCCUCGUGUCCUAGGGCAGGUGGCUGACGUAGCCCGGAAGUCCCCUUCCCCACACCUGAGCAGCUGGAAUGGAGGCCCCCGGCUCCCUGCUCUGCUUCCUCCAGCAUCUCGAAAGAACCUUCCCAGAGCACAGAUGGGACCGUGCACCCCCUCUGAUUUAAAACCUCCCUUUGAUCUUCUGGGGAAAAAACGGUGCACUCAGAACGCACAGAUGAUACUCCUUAUCGAAAACAAGCUGUUCCGGGCACCACUGCCUUAGCAGAGAGCGUAACCGACUUGUCCAGGGUCACAGGGCUGGUGACUGCCUCCGCCGGGAUUUGAAAAGAAUUCCAAACUCAUGAGAGUCGAGGCCAGCUGUCAUGGGGCCCCUCCAGCGUCUCCCCUGCCUCCCAGGGAGUGGGGAUGCCCCAAAAGGCAGGGCGCGUCCCGCCAUCAUGCUUUUAGCCUCUGCCAAGAACGCUUUCUCACCUGUUGGAGGUUUCCCCACCUCCAGUACCCAGCACGAAGCCACCCCUCAGUGUCUCAUGACCCUGGAAUCCAUCGACGACACACCCGCCUCCCACUGUCUUUGCAUAUGGUUGUUUCUGCCCACCUCUCGUCCCCCUCAGAGGGCAGAGGCUGGUGCGACAUUUCCCUCCGUGUCCUCACAGACCCGCGAUAAGGUGGUGCUCCAGGAUGGGUGUCCCCACCACCACCGCCGUCUCCACCGUGCUGUCACGACCACGAGGCUCUGGACGCGGGGGAGCACGCCUCCCCCCAGAGCACGGACAGCCCCCUCCCCAAGAUUUGACUUCCCUCUGGGUCAGAGGUCAAGUAGGCAGAAAGGCAGCAGAAAGCCGAGUUGGGGGAGUGCCUGGCACCAGAGUCUCCGGGUGGCAGAGUGGGUCCUGGGGCUGGCAGGUCACCAAGCAGAGCACCAUUUGUUCCCAAACAGAGUGACUCAGACCUGAUUUGUGCCCCAGCACCUCCCACCGCAGGAACCCGUGACGACCAGUGCCUGCUUCCUGGGAUUCCUGUGCACAGGCUGUGCCCGUCUGCCCCGUGGAGCAAAGGAGGGGUUGGGGGCGUGGGCACCUGGAGAGUCAUGGUUUCCAGGGACGCCCUGGGGCAGUGCUCCUUACCCUUGGCUUCUCAUUCUUGGCCACGCAAGCACCUGAGAGCGCAAAACAGGUGGUCAAGCCUGGGCCCCCGGACCAAGUUGGGGGUCAGAACAUCAGGGGACCCACAUAUGGCCUUUCUCAGCAGCUCUCUGGUGCUUCAGUUGUGUGGCUGAGACAGGAAUCACUGGGCUCCAGGGGCGCCUGGAUGGCAUCUGACUCGAUUUUCGCUCAGGUCAUGAUCUCACAGUUUGUGAGUUCAAGCCUCAAGUUGGGCUCCACUCUGACAUCGUGGAGCCUGCUUGGGUUUCUCUCUCUCUCCCUCUCUCUCUCUGCCCCUCCCCCAUCCCUCUCUCUCGCUGUCUCUCUCUCUGUCUCUCAAACAAAUACAUUAAAAAAAUGAAAUAAAAUAAAAGGAAUCACUGGGUCCCAGCGAAGGGCAGGCGCAGGCUGGAACGGUAGAGGUGAGAUAGAAAUCGGGUGCCAGUGCCCUGGGCGUGAGGACGGUCUGCAGCGGGGAAGAGGCGAGGGUGCCCCGAGGUGGUAAACAACUGCAGAUGGGCAAGAAGGAGCUUGCAGAAUGGGGCGCCUGGGCCCUUUCCCAGAUACGGUAAAGCCAGAGAGAAGGGCGGGAGGAGCAGGGGAGCUGGCGUGUGGGCUGGGCGGUGGCUGGGAGGCAGGGGCAGGCCUGACUCCGGGGUGCGAGGCUGGGAGAGGCCGGCUCCCCUCCGGCUAGAGGGUCACCGAGCAGUCCCAGUGAGUGAGGGGUAUGGCAGCCAUACUGUGGACCCUCAAACUCAAAAUCGGGUCUGGUUUACGGAGGAAAUGGGACACGAUGUCUUAUCUAGAUUUUUCCUGAGAAUCUGGCCCACGGAGGCCCUGUGCCGGGGUGGCGGAGGGGAUGUGCCCUGUGAAGAGCACUGAUCUGAAACCCUAUAAACUGGUACAAGGGCAUCGAUGUCCCCGUCUGUCCUGUGACUCACAGGCCCUGGAAACUCCACAUUUCUACACCGAGAGCAGGCGAACUUGCGGCCGUUAGGUUUUAGCGUCCACCCGGCUGGACCGAGGGACACCCAGAUAGCUGAUGAAACAUUCUUUCUGGGUGUGUGUGAGCGGGGUUGAUGGGGGGACUGAGUCCAGCAGGUGGCUCUCCCCAGUGGGGGUGGGGGCAUCACCCAGUCCAUCUAGGACCCAGAUGGAACAAAAAGCCAGAGGAAGAGCGAAUUCGAUCUCUGUUCUUGAGCUGGGACACGCCUCUUCUCCCCACCUGAGACAUGGGCGUUUCUCGUUCUCGCUUUCAGACUCAGAAUUUAUACCCGAGCCCCUCGAUCCUCAGACCGUAAGACUCAGGCUGAAUGCCACGGCAGAUGGCGGGACUUCCGGGCCGGUUCCUAUAAUAAAUGUCCUCUUACGUAUCUCUAUGCGUCCCAUCGGUUCUGUUCGGCCGGGGCAGCCUAAUACAGGAUCGUUGGAGUUUUAAAUCUACGCGCACUGUUCUUGUGGUUCGCGGGGGACAGGGCAUGAGCGAGGUGUCCUCUCUCUCAGGCACAUCUCCAGUCUUUCCUUGUUGAGCAGACAUUGCAGAGAUCCCCUGUACUCCUGCGGGCAUCUCUCAGGGGUAGAGGUGAUGCCUCGUGGGGGAAGGAGCCCACUCGGUCACCCAGCAUCUAGUGCGGAUGGGGGGAGGGUUUACACUAGAUCAGCCAGAGCCCUGGAGUCCUGCGCUCAAGGAGUUGACAAUCUCCUGUGAAUGUUGAUGAGUCUUAUAUUAUUAUUUGGGGUUCUGAGGAAGGAGACCAGGCCUCGUUCACAAGGCCUCGUAAUACACGAUGCACCUUGAUGGGAAUGGUAU